UGAUGUCCAAACUUUGAAAAGGGAGC
rnacentral:piRNA from 1 species